GGCCCGCGCCUCCAUGGGCCCGACCCGGAAGCCUAACGUGUGCAGCCGGCUAAGUCGCCGGGCGCUGGGCUGCUUCUCGCGCGACGCAGGCGUGGUACAGAGGACCAACCUGGGCAUCCUACGGGCGCUGGUGUGCCAGGGUCACAGGUGAUUGGGAGGAGGAUACAAGCCCGGAAUCUGGUGGAUUAGUCAAUAGGUGGUUAUGGGGCCUCCAGAUGCUUUUAGUUUUAUGCUGCUUCUGUCUUCCCUGUAAACAAUUAUUCUAAAUGUUGGUCACCUCAUUAAACCAAAACAUGAGGGCAGAGUGAAGGAAGGAUUCAAAAUCAGUUUUUGAAUAACGAAAGUACUAAAUUUAAGAAUGUCUGGACAACUCAUUCCAGGUCACCUAUAGCCUAUGAGAGAGGAAGAAUAUAUUUUGACAAUUAUCGGCGCUGUGUCAGCAGUGUUGCAUUGGAGCCAAGAAAACUUUAUGAAAUGCCAAAAUGUUCCAAAUCAGAAAAAAUAGAAGAUGCUUUGUUAUGGGAAUGCCCAGUGGGAGAUAAACUUCCCAAUUCAGCUGAUUGUAAGUCCUCACUCAUAGCACUAACUGCUCAUAAUUGGCUACUUCGUAUAUCAGCAACUACAGGAAAAAUCCUUGAGAAAAUAUAUCUUGGACCUUAUUGCAAAUUCAGAUACUUGAGCUGGGACACUCCUCAAGAAGUCAUUGCAGUCAAGUCAGCACAGAACAGAGGCUCAGUAGUGGCCCGGCAGGCAGGCGUUCAACAACCCAUUUUGCUCUACCUUGCAGUGUUCCAAGUUCUACCUUUUUCACUUGUAGGGAUUCUAGAGAUCAACAAAAAGAUUUUUGGGAACGUUUCAGAUGCUACCUUGUCUCAUGGAAUACUGAUUGUGAUGUACAACUCAGGACUGGUCAGACUCUAUAGCUUCCAAACCAUCGCUGAACAGUUCAUGCAACAGAAACUUGACUUAGGGUGUGCAUGCAGAUGGGGUGGGACUACUGGAACUGUAGGAGAGUCUCCUUUUGGCAUUCCUUGUAAUAUUAAAAUCACAGACACACCACCACUGCUCUUUGAGGUGUCAUCCCUGGAGAAUGCUUUUCAGAUUGGAGGCCAUCCUUGGCACUACAUCAUUACACCUAAUAAGAAGAAACAGAAAGGAGUUUUCCAUAUUUGUGCCCUAAAAGACAAUUCCCUGGCAAAAAAUGGGAUCCAAGAAAUGGAUUGUUGCUCUCUAGAAUCUGACUGGAUCUAUUUCCAUCCUGAUGCUUCUGGUAGAAUAAUACAUGUUGGCCCAAAUCAAGUCAAAGUUUUGAAGCUAACUGAAAUAGAAAAUAAUAGUUCUAAGCAUCAGAUCUCUGAAGAUUUUGUCAUUUUGGCCAACAGGGAGAACAAUAAAAAUGAAAAUGUACUCACUGUUACAGCUUCUGGACGGGUGGUAAAAAAAAGUUUUAACCUUCUGGAUGAUGACCCAGAACAAGAGACUUUCAAAAUUGUGGACUAUGAAGAUGAGUUAGAUUUGCUUUCUGUGGUAGCUGUUACUCAAAUAGAUACUGAAGGAAAAGCUCACCUGGAUUUCCACUGUAAUGAAUAUGGAACUUUACUUAAAAGCAUUCCAUUGGUGGAGUCAUGGGAUGUGACAUAUAGCCAUGAAGUCUACUUUGACAGAGACUUGGUGCUCCACAUAGAGCAGAAACCCAACAGAGUCUUCAGCUGCUAUGUUUACCAGAUGAUUGCCCAAGGCAGAAUUCACCUUGACAUCAGUGGACAGGAAGCAAGGAGGACUCAGAGCAACAUGAUGUACUGUUGACAGCAGAUCUUGCCUGCACAGAGUCCACACAGAACAGUCUUGGUAGCAGUGACUGGAACAGGAGAAUAGUGAGGCGAAGAAGAUCUGAAUUAAUGCAAGCUGUCUGAUAAAAGGGGAAACAAAUGGCAGUUUGAUUCUAAGUGUAUUCACUAAUAGAAGGCUGGGGACUGCCCCAUGAGGGGUGAGCAUAAGCACCGUAAGAGAUAUUGCUGGGAGCCCACUUUGAAAGAGGAUUAGGACAGAAGCAAGCCCCAGCCACUGGCCUCACUUAGAGCUGGAGGAACAAGAUUUCAUCCACUCCUAAGAGGAAGUAUGAGAGAAACACAAAAAUACUGUCAACACAUCAGUACAGAUUCACUGAGAGUGGCUAUCUAUUCUAUAAUAAUACUUUUUUUUUUUAGACUGAGUCACAGUCUGUAGACCAGGCUGGAGUGCAGUGGCAUGAUUUCAGUUCACUGCAACCUCUGCCUCCUGGGUCCCGGUUCAAGAAAUUCUCCUGCCUCCUGAGUAGCUGGGAUUACAAGCACAUGCCACCAUACCCAGCUAAUUUCACCAUGUUGGCCAGGCUGGUCUUGAACUCCUGACCUCAUGAUCCUGACCUCAUGAACUCCUUGAACACCUUGAACUGCUGACCUCAUGAUCCAUCCACUUCAGCCUCCCGGGAUUAUAGGCAUGAGCCACCGCACCCAGCCUCUUUAAUACUAAAGUUUAUUUCCCCAACCUUCAGGUGGAUACGGUUUUCAUAUGCUCCUCUGGUAAGUGGAGGAUCAUACACAUUCUACGAUCCUGUGAAAUUAAUACCCGUUAUUUUAUAAAUGUUAACACUGAUAGGUGACAGCAAAAUAGUCACUAUAAGCUUGUAUGAAUUUCUGAGCAAUUGUUAACCUUUUCUGCCUUUGAACCUAUCAGAAUUUCAUCAAUGUGCUGUGAUAAAUAUUUGUCAUACAUUUUGAACUUAAUGCAAGUGUCUUAAGAAGGUGUUUGAGUCAUCACAGAGUAAUAACUACAUCACAGAGUAAUAAAUACUGUAGUAGCAACUACAUUAUAAAGUAAUAACUGCUAUAUUUAGGUACAAUGACCUGUGUGGUUAUUUCAUGACUUUAAUCACUGAACUCAGUAGGUCCUCUAUUUGCAAAAAAAAAAACACCAGCCAAUUGUGCUUUUAUGAUGUAGGAAUAAAACAAAAUGCAUUUUAAUAAUUAUUGAUACCUGCUAGAAGACAUGAAUAUUAGAUAGGGAGAUGUAGUUAGAAAGUAGAAUUUCCACAUCAAAGAAUACUAGGUGUUUGAUAGGUUUUGAUGCUAUGGUAAAGGGAAUCUCUUUUAAAUUUCAUUUUUUAAUCAUGCUUAACUAGGAAUGCAAAUAAUUCAAUUUUAUUACUUCCUCUAUCCUUAAUUCCAUUUUGUCCUUGGACUGGUUGGGACCUCCAGUAUAAUUAGUACUCUAAUUGUUUAGAGUAAACAAUUUCAACUAUUAAGUACAAUGUUUUCUGUAGUAUUAAAAAGUAGAUUCCCUUUAACAAAUUUAAGCAGUUUCCUUCUAUCCUAGUUUGCUGAGGUUUUUUUACAACUAUAUAUAGAAUUUUAUGUUUUUACAUCUAUUAAGAUAAUCAUAAUUUUUCUCCCUUUUCUGUCAAUGUAGUGAAUUAAACUGAUGGAUUUUUAUAUGUUAAACCAAUCAUAUAUGCAUGAAAUAAACCCAGCUUGGUUGUGAUGUAUCAUUUUAUAUUUUUUUAGAUUUAGUUUGCUAUUAUUUUGUUUAAUGAAGACUUUAACUUAUAUAAGCAGUUUAUAUUAAUUUGCAGUAGUCCAGUGUUUUUGCUGCAACAAUUAGAAAAUCAAAUGGAUAAAUUGCAAAAUUAUAUUUUUAAAGAUAACAGAGAGUUGUAGAACAAGGAGGAAUAGAUGAACUAAAAUUCUAGAAGGGUAAGAACCCUCUCUAAGUGAACUAACAAUUGUCUUUGUUUUCUUCACCUGUAGGCCUGACCCCCAGGCACAAAGACAACACUAGUUAAAGAAAGAGAAACCAGUGGAGCUUUUGACAGUCACACAAAGCUGUUGUGACCUAUAAGAAACUGGAAGAGUCCAAAUGCAAGGCUAGUUUCCCAUGUGAGACAUUUGUUAAGUCAGAGGAAAAUAUAGAAAACAUGGAUAAUUUCAACAUGGAAUUGAAAUAUAUUUUUAAAAGUAUAAUGAACAUUCUAGAACCAAAACACAUAAUCUGAAAUUAAGAACUCACUGGAUGGCUUUAACAGCAGACUGGAAACAGCAGGACUGGAUUAGUGAAUCAAAGACAGGCUAUUGGAAAAAAAUAAACUACAAGGAGGAAAAAGAUUGUAAAGAAACAGAAAAUUAUAUGCUUAUUGGCCACUCAGAUCUUUUUUGGUAAAGUAUCUGUUCAAAUCUCUGGGCCAUUUUUUUUUUAAAUAUGUUGUUUGUUCUUAUUGAGUUGUACAUAUUCCUUUUGUACCCUGGAUACUAGAACUUUCUGAAAUAUAUAGAAAAUUUUUCUCAAAUCUUCAAAUUUUUUAAAAAUUGAGGUUAGGCUGGGUGCAGUGGUUCAUACCUAUAAUCCAAACACUUUAGGAGGCAACGCGAGAGAAUCAGUUGAGCCCAGGAGUUCAAGACUAGUCUGGGCGACAUAGUGAGACUCUGUCUCUACAAAAGUUUUAAAAAAUUAGCCAAGCAUAGUGGUGCAUGCCUGUAGUACCACCUACUCUGGCGGCUGAGGCAAGAGGAUUGUUUGAGUCUAAGAAUUUGAGGCUGCAGUGAGAUAGUAUCACACCACUGCACUCCAGUCUGAGCAACAGAGCAAGAUCCUACCUCAAUCAGUCAAUCAAUCAAUAAAAAUUCAAAUUGAGGUAAGAUAUACAUAACAUAAAAUUAACCAUUAAAAGUGAACAAUUCUGUGGCAUUUAGUAUAUUCAUGAUAUUUUACAACCAACAUCUCUAAUUGCAAAACAUUUUUAUUACUCCAAAAGGAAACUUUAUAGUCAUUAAACAGUUACUCUCCAGUCUCCCUUCCCCACAGCCCUUGGCAACCACUAAUCUGUAUUCUAUCUCUAUGAAUUUGCUUAGUCUAGAUAUUUCAUAUAAAUGAAUUCAUAUAUGUGACUUUUUGUGUUUGGCUUCUUUCACUUAGUAUAACAUUUUCAAAGUUCAUUCAUGUUGUAACGUGUCAGUAUGUCAUUCCUUUUCGAAGCUGAUUAACAUUCUGUUGGGUGUGUAUGCCACAAUAUGUUUAUCCAUCCAUUAAUGAACAUCUGAGUUGUCUCCACCUUUAAAGUAUUGUGAAUAGUGCUUCUGUGAACAUGCAUGUACAUGUAUGUCUUUGAGUACCUGUUUUCAAUUACUUGGGGUAUAUUCCUAGAUGUGGAAUUGAUGGGUCAUAUUCUAUAUUUAACUUUUUGAGAAACUGUCUCACCAUUUUCCACAGCAUCCAUACCAUUUUACAUUUCCAUAAGCAAUGUCUGAGGAUCCUUUUUCUUCAAAUCCUUACUGAAGCUUAUUAUUUUCCCUUUAAAGAAACAUAGCUAUUCUAGUUGGUAUGAAGUGAUAUCUCAUUGUGGUUUUGAUUUGCAUUUACCAAAAGAUGUUGAUCAUCUUUUCAUAUGCUUGUUGGCCAUUUGUGUAUCUUUGGGAAAUAUCUUUUCAAGUCCUUUGCCCAUUUUUAUAUUGGAUUGUUUAUAUUUUCAUUGUUGAGUAGUGAGAGUUCUUUUUCUAGAUGUUAGAACUUAAUCACAUGUAUGAUUUGCAAAUAUUUUAUCCCUUCUUCCAUUCUGUAGGUUUUCUUUUUACUUUUCUUGAUAAUGUUCUUUGAUGCACAGAAGUUUUUAAUUUAGAUAAAGUCUAAUUUAUUUUAAUUUUUUCAAACAGGAUCUCACUUUGUCACCCAGGCUGGUGUGCAGUAGUGCCAUAUCAGCUCACCUCAACCUCCCACCUGAGCAGUCCUCCCACCUGCCUUUCACAUAGCUGAGACUACAGGCAGGGGCCACCACACCUGGCUAAUUUUUUAUCUUUUUCGGUAGAGUCAGAGUUUCGCCAUGUUGCCCAGGCUAGUCUCGAACUCCUGGGCUCAAUCGAUCUGCCCACCUCAGCUUCCCAAAGUUCUAGGAUUGUGUGAGCUGCUGUGCCCAGCCUUUGAUUUAUUUUUGUUGUUGUUGCUCUUGGUUUGGUGUCAUAUCUAAGACUCCAUUGCCAAAUCCGAGGUAAUAAAGAUUUCUUCCUAUGUUUUCUUCCAAAAAUUUUAUUGGUUCUUCCAAGAAUAGAAGGUUUUAGUUCUUCUAUUUAGGUUCUUGUCUUAGUCUGUUGGAGCUGCUGUAACAGAAUACUGGGUGGCUUAUACACAACAGACAUUUUUUUUUUUGUAGUUCUGGAGGUUAGGAAGUUCAAGAUCAAGGUGCCAACAGAUUUGCCGUCUGGUAAGGACUUUUUGAUUCAUAGAGGCUACUUUCUUGUGUUUUCACAUGCUGGAAGAGGCAAGAGAGCUCUCUGGAGACUCUUUUAUAAUUGCAAUUACUUUUGCACUAGCCUGAUAGAAGGGCAUUAAUCUCAUUCAUGAGGGCUCUGUCUUCAUGGCCUAAUCACCUACCAAAAGCCCUGCCUCCUAACACUAUCAUAUUGGAAGUUAGUUUUCAAUGUAUGAAUUUUAAGAUGACACAAGCAUUCAGUCAGUAACAGUUGUUAUAGGGGAGGGACAGUGAUGGGUGGGGAGUUGGGGAGAGAUAGCAUGGGGAGAAAUGCCAGAUAUAGGUGAUGGGGAGGAAGGCAGCAAAUCACACUGCCAGGUGUGUACCUAUGCAACAAUCUUGCAUGUUCUUCACAUGUACCCCAAAACCUAAAAUGCAAUAAAAAUAAAUAAAUAAAUAAAAUAAAAUGAAAUGGUGGAUGCCUAAUCUCCAAGGCCUUUCCUACUCUAAAUUUCUAUGAGGUUUUCCUACAGUAAUUAACAAAAUCUGAAUAAAGAGUUUUAUUUUGUGAAGGUUAAUCAUAUAUUAACUGGAGAUUAAGUUUUAAUUACAGGUAACUAUACACACACACACACACACACACACACACACACAAACAAGUCUACUUGCCCUGCACUCCUGAUAAGAAACUCAAUUAUAUCUUAAGAUAUUUGUGACUUUAAAGGACUUGAACAUCAUAGUGCAAAUGGUCAGUGUGUAGCAUAGAAAUAAAAGGCUCGUUUUAUUACAUUUUAAAAAUGUUCUAAAAGUUGUAUCCUACUGUAAAUACAAUGACAAUAGUCUUUUUAAAAGCUUAUAGUUAUACCAUUAUAUAGUUUAUAAAAUACUUUGAUACAUACAAUCUCAUUUGAUCUAAAAAUAGCUGUGUAGUAGGCAAAAGCAGUUGUCAGUUAUCUUUAUUUAAUAGAUUAGACUAUUUCAUGAUAUUUAGAGGUUGGUCUUCUGACUACUUGUUGAACAUUUUUAACUUAUUAUAUCCUUCAUGAAAAGUUUUUAUGACACAAAGACUUGACUAUAAGUUUCAACUAAAGAGAAAUCACUAUAUAAAAUUGAGAUGAGUUAUACAAAUACCAUUAUUUUGCAAAUCACAUAUUCAUGUAUGUAAGUGCAUACAAUUUAGCAUGCUUGAAUAUGUUAGCACAGAAGCCAUUUCCCUUGUCUAAAUAUUGUCUUUUUUCUCCCUUAGUGAUAGCAUUAGAAGUAACAACAACAAACACAACUUAGAACAGUUCUGUAUGUUGUCUAAUCCAAAUGCGAGAUAGCAAAGAAUAAUAAGCUUUAUGUUAUUUCCAUAGACAUUAUGUAAAUAUGAUCCAUAUUAAAUAAAGUCACCCCAUUUUCCAUGGCAUCAGAAUGAUGAAAUUAUACAAUAAACAAAUGGAUUUAUGGUGAUCUAAAAAAAAAAAAAACAGCUGAUCUAUUUUGAGUUAAUUUUAUAUAUGGUGUGAGGUAGAGGUUCGGUUUCAUUCUUAUGCAUGUGGAUAUUCAGUUGUCACAGCACUGUUCUUUGAAAAGACUAUUCUUUCCCCUCUAGAAUGGUCUUACCAACCUUGUUAAAAAUCAAUUUGCCAUAAAUGGAUGAGUUUAGUUCUGGACUCUCAAUUCUAUUUCAUUGGUUUAUGUGUCUAUCCUUAUGCCAGUACCACACUAUUUUAAUUACUGUAGCUUUGUAAUAAGUUUUGAAAAUCAGAGAGUGUAAGUCUUCCAACCUUUUUCUUCUUUUAUAUUAUUGGAUCAGCUUUUCCAUUUCUGCAAAAAAAGUUAUUGGCAUUUCGAUAGGGAUUGCAUCAUAUCUGUAGAUUACUUAGGUAGCAUUGCCAUCUUAACAACAUUGUUUUCCAAUCCAUGAACAGAGAUUAUCAAUUUCUUUCAACAAUGUCUUAUACUUUUCAGUGCACAAACUUUAUCUCUGUGGAGGCCAGAUCAACUUCAUCUUGAAUGCUAAUCCACCACAGGGCUUUUGAUUAAUCCCAGUUCUGGAAAGGCCUCUAGGAUUUCUAGCUUACCUAUUGUUCCUUGUUUAAGAGCAGGUACUAACCAUAAAUCCUGCCCUUAAGUCAAACGACCUUGAUGUUACUGUACUUCAGCUGUCCUAUACAUCCCUUCUGAAUCACUCUUUCCCUAUGGUAGAUAAGUCCUGGGUCUGAGGGGUAAUGGUGCAGGGAUCCACUAUCUUGUCUCACUACCACCCAAGACACAGACAUGACUUCUGUUAAGUUCUUAUUAAAUGUUUCUUUCCAAUAAAUUGGAUUUGUCAGUCUCUUUCUUCAUCCUCUCAGCUUCCUCAGACUUUGGGGCAGAUAUGCAUAGAACUGCCCACUGCAGAACAACCUCCUUGAAUAAAUAUAUUCCUAGGUAUUUUAUUCUUUUGCACAUUCUUGUAAAUGGAAUUGUUUUCUUAAUUUUCUUUUGAAAUUGCUCAUUGCUGAUGUAUAGAGACACUACUAGUCAGGCGUGGCAAUCCGAGCACUUUGGGAGGUCAAGGUGGGUGGAUGAUCUGAGGUCAGGAGUUUGAGACCAGCCUGACCAAAAUGGUGAAACCCUGUCUCUACUAAAAAUACAAAAAAUUAGCUGGGCGUGGUGGUAGGGGGGCGCCUGUAAUCUCAUCUAGUUGGGAGGCUGAGGCAGGAGAAUCCCUUGAAUCCGGGAGGUGGCUGUUGCAGUGAGUCGAGGUCACCCCAUUGCACUCCAGCCUAGGCGACAGAGCAAGACUCCAUCUCAAAAACAAAAGAAGAAAAAAAAUACUACUUACUUUUGUGUGUUGAUUUUGUACUCUGCAAAUUUGCUGAAUUUAUUAGCUCUAGUGGUUUUGUUGUUGUGGUGGUGGCAUUUGUGUGUGCGUGUGUGCAUUCUUUGGGAUAUUCUAUAUAGAGGUUAUGUCAUCUGUGAAUAAAGAUAGUUGUAUUUCUUCUUUUCUAAUUUGGAUGCCUUUUCUUUUUCUUGCCUAAUUACUCUCACUGGAAUUUCCAAUACAAUGUUGAACUGCAGCAAUGAAAGCAAGCAUCCCAAUCUUUUUUUUUCAUCUCAAAGGGAAAGCUUUCAGUCUUUCCCCAGUGUGUGUGAUGUUAACUGAGGGGUUUGUGUAUGUUGGGAAGUGUCAUAAAUGCCCUUUGUCAUGUUGAAGAAGUUCUCUUUUAUUCCUAGUUCUCUGAGUGUUCCUUGUCAUGAACAAGUGUUGGAUUUUGUCAAAUGCUUUUUCUUCAUGAAUUGAAAUGAUCAGCUGCUUUUUUUUUUUUUGCUUCAUUCUAUUAAUGUGGUAUACAGCAUUGAUUGAUUUUCUUAUGUUAAACUGCCCUCAGGUAUACAUUUUGGAAAUAGUCUUUCACAGUCCGUGGUUUGCUAUGUUUUUAUUAAUUAAUUUUUCAUUUUAUUAUUUUUAAGACAAGGUCUCACCCUAUUGCCCAGGCUGGAGUGCAGUGGUGUGAUACUGGCUUACUGCAACCUCUACCUCCUAGGCUCAAGUGAUAUUCCUGCUUCUGCCUCCCAAGUAGCUGGGACUACUGGCAUGUCUAGCUAAUUUUUAUAUUUUUUGUGAAGACAAGGUUUCACCAUGUUGGCCAGGCUGGGCUCAAACUCCUGACCUCAAGCAAUCCACCUGCCUCAGCCUCCCAAACUGCUGGAAUUACAGGCAUGAGCCACCACAUCUAGCACUAUGUUUCUUUUUAAUGAUGUCAUUGGUGAGCUAAAGUUACUAAUUUUGAUGAAGUUUAUCAUCUUCUUCUUAUAUGGUUAUUGCUUUCUGUAUCUUAUCUAAGGACCUUUUACCUAUCACCAAGUAUGAAGAUACUCAAUUUCCUCUAAAAGUUUUAUGGUUUUAGCUUUUAUAUUUAAGUUAAUAAUCUAUCACAAAUUAAGUUUUGUAUGGUAUGAAGGAAUUAAAAAGUUCAAGAGGCUAAAAUAAGCUCUUUUGCUUAGAGAUGCAUACACAGAUAGUAAAUUUAUAAAGUAGACUAGGAUAACUAGUAUAAUAGAAAUCAGACCAGGCACGGUGGCUCACGCCUGUAAUCCUAGCACUUUGGGAGGCUGAGGUGGGUGGAUCACCUGAGGUCAGGAGUUCAAGUCCAGCCUGGCCAUCAUGGUGAAACCCCAUCUUGUAAAAAAGAAAAGAAAAGUCAGGAUACUGAUUAUCUCUUGGAGGAGAGAUCAAAUUGAUAUCAGAAAGGCAUAUGCAUGUAGCUUGUAGGGUGCAGUGAUAAUCUAGUUUUUUACCUGGGGAAUGAAUUAUGUGAUUAUUUGCUUUAUUACAGGUCAUGGCCUCAGAAUAGUAAAGAAUUUAUGAAAAAAGAUGCAAACUAUAAUAACCAUAAAAUAAAAGACCAAUCAAUUCAACCACAUUAAAAUUAAGAACAUCUAUUCCUCAAAAGACUCCAUUGUUAUUAGACUUUAUUACACAUUCUCUUCUAGGAGCAUUAUUUUACUUUUCUUAGCUAGGUCUUUCAUAUUCCUGGAGAUGAUUUUUGUGUUUAAAAAAAAUUUUUUUAAACAUUUUAUUUAUAGCUUUUCUAUAUUUUGUUUAUUGUUUAUGCAGAUUCUCACUAAUGGUGGCUUGCUUUGCCUUUUCAUGAACUUGAUCAUCUUUGAUUGCAAGCUUGAUCUGAAUCUCUGGGUCCUCUAGCUCCAUGGAAAGCUCUCUUCCAUAGAAGAUUUGUUCCUGCUUCUGCUUGUAACCAAAGAAACUAGGUUGGUGCAAAAGAAUUGCAGUUUUUGCAAUUACUUUUAAUGACAAAACCGUAACUUUUAAAUUUUUUUAUUUUUUGAAAUGGAGUCUUGCUCUUGCCCAGGCUGGAGUACAAUGGCACAAUCUUAGCUCACUGCAACCUCCACCUCCCAAUUUCAAGCGAUUCUCCUGCCCCAGACUCCCAAGUGGCUGGGAUUACAGGUGUGUGCCACCACGCCUGUUUUUGUGUUUUUAGUAGAGACACGUUUUCACCAUGUUGGCCAGGCUGGUCUUGAACUCCUGACCUCAGGUAACCCACCUGCCUCGGCCUCCCAAAGUGCUGGGAUUAAGGUGUGAACCACCAUGUGCAGCCAAAACUGCAAUCUCUUUUGCACCAACCUAAUAACACUUCAGUGUCUUAGCUCAAUUCAUCCUUCCCAACCGUGUGUUGGCCUAAACCUUAGUAUCUUAAUAGCAGUGCUACUACUAUCAGCAUUUUGCUCAGGACAACUCUGGUUUUGUUUUCUUUCUUGGAGGGGAAGUUUCUGUGGAAACCUUCCCUACCGCUUAAGAGACCAGCAAUGUCUCAGAGAAAUGAGUUUGUCCAAGGUCUAACUAAGUACUCCAUAGCACAAAUGUGUCUCAGCAAACCUAGUCAGCCAUAAUAGGAUAUUUGAAAGUCCCUAAUAAUAUAUUUUGCAUAGUCCUCCAGAUUAUUAUAUAUAUAGCUUCUUCAUUUUAUAAGGCUACAUUGUCAUCUGUUGUAUAGAAUCUAUUUAACCAGUUUCCCAACUAUUGAUCUGUAGAUUCUAUCCAAUUGUUUGCUAUCAUGAGCAAUGUUGCAGCGUCAUUUUACACCUGUGUGAAAUUCCUAGAAAUAGAAUUUUCUAAUUUCUAUUUCUAUUAUAAUUUUCUAUUAUAAAUUCCUAGAAAUAAAAUUACUGGGUCAUAUUUCCCCCAUAGAGGUUGUACCACUUUAUUAUUUUAUAUGGUUUAUACAUACUGAAAUUUACAUGAAAUAGUUGCUUUAUGUAAUUUAAAAGAAAUAUACCCCAUUACUUUUUGACAAAGAAUUAAUGCAAUAUUACAAGUUGGAUAUUUCAUUUAACUUAUUAAGAAGGAGAUUUUACAAGAUUUGGAGGAAAAAGUAAAUCUUUCCAAGUACACAUGAAAUUUCUUUCUUAAUUAUACUUUUAAGUUCUGGUGUACAUGUGCAGAACUUGCAGGAUUGUUGCAUAGGUACACACAUGCCAUGGUGGUUGCUGCCUCCGUCACCCCCAUCACCUACAUCAGACAUUUCUUCCAAUUUUAUCCCUCCACAACCUCCCCACCGCAUGCUAUCCCUCCCCAGCCCCCUACUCUCCAACAGACCCCAGUGUUUGAUGUUCCCCUCCCUGUGUCUAGCACACAUGGACUAUUAAGCAAAAUUGAUCAAAUGUUGGACCAUGAAGCAAGUUCACUGCUUCAUGAGCUUCAAGUGUCUCAAAUGCUAUUCUUUACAUGUGGAAGAAUAUCUUGUUUUUCUUUCCCUAUCAAGAACCAAUCUUUACAAAGAUUUAUUGCUGUCAAACUUUUAAUCUAGUCAAUACAUUUGUGAAUCAUUUAUUUGAAAGUAGGUUAAAUAAGCAUGCAAGUCUGAAGUGCCAUAACAGAUUAGACGUCAUGGAAUUGAAGGUAUGUAGCUCAAAGGGAUAACAGAUUCUAUUAUCUUACUUCCUUUGCACAGAGAAGUUAAUAGCACCUUUGCAGGAUAUUAUUAUGAUAGAAAAUUAGCCCUGCCUCUUAAGCAUUCAUAAACAAAUAAAUCUAACUGAUAAGAAUAUAAACAAUCAUUAACUUAGUACAUUAGUAAUAGAACUGAAGUCCAUUUCUUGCUCUAAGGUUAUAGAUAUAAGGUUUUGGAAGCAAAUAAAGAAAAGGGAUUUUCAUGUCUUCCAAGUUUUCCAAUUUAGAACACCAGGGUAUGUAACACAGAAUAUCUUCAAAGUAAAGCAGGUUAAUGCUCACAUUACUUGAAGACAUUACUUGAUGUCUUUAUAUGUAUUUUACUAGCAGAAUAUAUCCUUAUACUUUCUUUGCUUGAGCCACUAAUUAAGUUACAUUUGAUUAAAUAGUAGAGAAAGCCUUUAUGAUGUUACAGGAGGGAAGCCAGGUGGUUACUCCUACCUUUGUAGUACUUUAGACCUAAGUAAUCAUCUUGACACACCUCAAAUGUAAAUGUAUUACCUACAAGACAGGAAGGUGGGCUUGGAAAAAUUUCUUGAAGCUGGGUUUAUCAUAGCUUGGAACAUGGCCGGACCUGGACUUGGUUUGGUCAAUGGCUAUGAUCUGGGUUGUGCUGCUUUCUAUAGUUUCUGAUUUCAGAAUUAACCGGCCUACCAGCUUGAAGAAGACCUUGAAGGGACAGACCCAGCUGAUCAUGACCAUGAAUGGAUGUCCAGCCCAGCAGUCAGAACAUGGUAUCCAAAGCUCUCACCGUCAACAACAGAAAGACCAAGUCAGUAGCAGGAAAAUGCAACCUAGGGUAUCAUAAAAUGGAUCCAGGCUCCCACAUGUGGUUGUCCAGAUCAUGCACUGCACAACUCUAGAUGAUACUAUGUACGUAGAUGGUAUGUCCUGACAAAUGAACCAAACAUAGAUUGGGAAUGCAGGAAUGGUAAAUAAAUGGUUGUCCAAAUAUGAAAUAUAUAUAGUUGGAAGAGAGAAAGCCUACCAAUAGUCAAAGAUUCAGAGGUACAACUCCAGCCUAAGAAGGUGGACCCAAAAGGAAAUAUUUCUGUCUUGAACAGAAUCUUAAAGCUUUUGUCAGCUUGGGGUGUCAUCAAGGAGUGAUUCAUUAGGUGUCACUCUGAAUUUCACCUCCUCUGGAUUCUUGCUAUUGCCUUGGGCACUGUGGCUCAGUGGUGCACUACUCUGCCAUUAAAGUUUUGGCACAAGUGGACAAAAAUACCUUUGGAUUUUUCUUGAUAGAAUAGAAAUAAACCAGAAUUUUUCUUUAGAAAAAUAUUUUAUUAAAUACAAAAAAAGAACAAAAAAUAAAUAUUUAAGUUAAUAUAAAAAUGAACUAUCUCUACUUAGCUUUUGCAUGUCUAGGAGUUUAUCCAAAGGAAAUAAUUACAAAUGUUAAUUAAGGUUUGAUCAGAGAAGCAGAACCACUGCAAGUGAUCUACAGGGAUCUGUACAGAGUACAGACCUUAUAUAGUAAGUCAGUAUAGGAGCUGGUUGUGCAGUCUUUGUAAGUCUAUGAUCCUUCGUGUGGUGCUGAGCCUGAAGUCAGCAGGGCCUGUAAUUAGGAAGGGAAGAUGCAUGUGAAGUGGGAGUGAGUAAGGACAAACUGGGAUUCACAGGAUGAGCUGUGAAUAAAGUAAAACUGAAAUUUGCAUCUGCCUCUCAUUGCUGCCAAACAUCGAACUUCAGUGAUGUGGAAGACUUCGAGAUGAUUGAAUGCAUUCCACCAUGGAGCUGCACAUGUACUUUGGCCAAAAUCUGAGAAGUUGAAAGAGGAGAUCCGGUGGGAGCUGGAUCUGUUGGGCCCAGAUACUAUCUUCAUGGAGAUAGAGCUGAAAUUGCUACUGGCCUGGUUGCUGGCUCCUCUAACAAGCUUUAUCUGCUAACAGAAAUUGUAAUCCUGGCGGAACGAUCCAAGAUGGCCGAUCGCUAACAUCUCGGGAUUGCAGCUCUCAGGGAAGGCGCAGAGAACUAGAGGACGCCACACUUUCAGACAAAUUCUGGUCGCUCACGGAGCAGAAGAUCCCCCAGUGGAGGAAUCACACGGGUCGCCAGCGCGACUUUCGUGACCGGCACAGCGGUUCCACCAGCACCUCGGCUCCGCAGCUCUCGGAGCAGAGUAAACAGGUUCGGAGGACCCACACGGGCCCCCAGCACAACACCAGAGCCCAGCCCAGCGGCUGUGACAGCAUGCUCGGCGCAGAGUAAACAGGACCGGUUCCCCUUCUGACCAAGGUUUGGAGCCCCAGGAAGGCAGAGUCGCCUACUACAGACACAAGAAGGAAGCCCGACAGGAGAAUCCUGGGCAGAAAAGCACCAUCAGUUUUAACGCCGCUGCUCUGGCCCUGGGAACUAACAACCUGGACAUCCACUCAAGAGACCUAAUCUGAAAGUUGGUAAUUUCAAAGACGACAGGAGGAUAAAUUUACAAUGACGGGAAGAAACCAGCGUAAAAAAGCUGAGAAUACUCAAAGUCAGAACACCUCUCCCUCUAAAGAUGAUCACAGUUCCACAUCAACAAUGGAACAAGGCUUGAUGGAGAACGAGUGCAUCCUGAUGACAGAAUCACUCUUCAAGGAAUGGAUAAUAACAAACUUCGGUGAGUUAAAAGAACAUGUUGUAGCCCAACGUAAAGAAACUAGGAACUUUGAAAAAAGGUUUGAUGAAAUCCUAUUGAGAAUAGACAACUUAGAGAGGAGUAUGAGUGAAUUAAUGGAACUGAAAAAUACAAUACAGGAACUCCGAGAAGUAUGCACAGGUUUAAACACUCGAAUUGUUCAAGCAGAAGAAGGGAUAUCAGAAGUCAAAGUCCAACUUAAUGAAAUAAAACGUGAAGAAAAGAUUAGAGAAAAAAGGAUAAAAAGGAAGGAGCAAAGUCUCCAAGAAAUGUGGGACUAUGUGAAAAGACCAAAUUUACGUUUGAUAGGUGUACCUGAAUGCAACGGAGAGAAUGAAUCCAAGCUGGAAAAUACCCUUCAGGAUAUUAUUCAGGAAAAUUUUCCUAAACUAGCAAAGCAGGUCAACAUUCAACCCCGGGUAAUACAGAGAACACCACAGAGAUAUUCCUCAAGAAGAGCAACCCCAAGGCACAUAAUCAUUAGAUUCACCAGGGUUGAAACGAAGGAGAAAAUACUAAGGGCAGCCAGAGAGAAAGGUCAGGUUACCCACAAAGGCAAACCUAUCAGACUUACAGCAGAUCUCUCAGCAGAAACUCUACAAGCCAGAAGAGAGUGGGGGCCAAUAUUCAACAUCCUCAAAGAACAGAACCUUCAGCCCAGAAUUUCAUAUCCAGCCAAACUAAGCUUCACAACUGAAGGAAAAAUAAAAUCUUUUAUGAACAAGCAAGAACUCAGAGAUUUUAUUACCACCAGGCCUGCUUUACAAGAGCUUCUGAAAGAAGCAUUACACACAGAAAGAAACAACCAGUAUUAGCCUUUCUAAAAAUACACCAAAAAGUAAAGAGCACCAACAUAAAGAAGAAUUUACACCAACGAAUAGAUAAAACAGCCGGUCAGCAUCAAAUGGCAGUAAUCCUAAAUUUAAAUUGACUAAAUCCCCCAAUCAAAAGACACAGCCAAAACCCAAUGGCAUGUUACAUCCAGACUUGUUUCACAUGCAAGGAUACACAAAGACUCAAAACAAAGGAAUGGAGAAAGAUUUACCAACCAAAUGGAGAGCUAAAAUAAAUAAAUAAUAAAUAAAAAGCAGGAGUUGCAAUUCUCGUAUCGGAUAAAAUAGAUUUUAAAGCAACAAAGAUAUAGUGGUAAAAGGAUCAAUGCAACAAGAAGAGCUAACGAUCCUAACACCCAAUACGAAACUUAGAUUCAAUGAGACAGAAAAUUAAUAAGGAUAUCAAGGACUCGAACUCAGAUCCAGAACAAGUAAACUUAAUAAAUAUUUAUAGAGCUCCCCACUUCAAAUACACAAAAUAUACAUUCUUGUCAAUACCACAUCACACCUACCCAUAAGUUUAAAUGAAACAUUGAUUGGCCAUUAUUAACACCCAAUUUUUUUCAAAAUAAAGCAAUAUUUCCAUUUACUCUCCCUCUUUCUCGUCCUCUUUCUUCCUCUCCUUUACUUAUUUUUUUUUCUUUCCUUCUCUCGAAAAAAAAAAGAAAUCAACUUGUAAACCUCUAGAUCCAGGUCAGCAAUAUCUCUCUCAUUGCUUGAUUUCCUUCAUUCCCUUCCCUCCCUCCCUCCGUCCCCGCUUCCUCCCUUCCUUCCUUCCUUCUUCCCUUCAUUCCUUCCUCCCCCUGCCCCAAAAAAAAGAAAUUGUAAUCCUAAGAUCCACUAAAGUGUAAGAUAAGUUUGUAGGUAAAAUUUAUCUAGCCAAACAGUGGACCUAUUAAGAGGGCCUUUCCGGUCUACAUUCAGAGUUCUUUUUGGAUAUGCAUGAUUCCUUCAAACUUCAAUAAGGCCUUCAGAUCUAUAAGCCAAAAUUCUGAGAUACUCUGCCUGUGAAUGCCCUUUAAAAAAAUGCAUGUGAUAGAGAUUAUAAUUAGAACAUUUAUUCCUGUUAUUACAAAGUCAAACAAGAAAGCAUCCAAUAAAAGUUCUCCAAAGAUAAAACAAUGUUUAUGGCUACUUUAUAAUAACAGUAUUAACCAAGGCUGGGCACAGUGGCUCAAGCCGGUAAUCCCAGCACUUUGGGAGGCUGAGGCAGGUAGAUCACCUGAGGUCGGGAGUUCAAGACCAGCCUGACCAAUAUGGUGAAACCCCAUUUCUACUAAAAAUACAAAAAAAUUAGCCAGAUGUGGUGGCACAUGCCUGUAAUCCCAGCUACUCAGGAGGCUGAGACAGGAGAAUCACUUGAACGCGGGAGGCAGAGGUUGCAGUGAGCCGAGAUCGCCCCAUUGCACUCCAGCCUGGGCUAUAAGAGCAAAACACCUUCUCAAAUAAAUAAAUAAAAUAAUAGUAGAACCCAGUUCUUUACAUUCUAUAAUGUGCCAUCCAAAUAAUCCAAUGUCUUAUAACAUUUGAUUGUAAGAAAAAUGUGCCAGGGCAUUUCUUUCCUUGCUAAUUCUCUGUCUUAGGCUCUGUAAACUUCUCAUCAAUCUGUCACUCAAUGCAUGAAUGUGUUUUUAAAGGCCUCUUUUCUGUUGACAACUGUUCUAUGCUAUAAUAAAGAUAUUGUCUGUAUUCUUAGAUCUCUGGCAUGUGGAGCCUUGUGGACCUGGGGAACUACCCCUCCCAGAGUUUACUAAUUCCUAGAGAUGACUGUUUGCCUGCCAGCACAUCUUUGAUAUCCAAACCAACUAACAGGGUUCCAAGCCCCAACCUACCUCCUUUCAUGCGAUCACUGCAGGGUCUGCCGAAAUUAUUCAAACUGUCCAACCAUAAGGUUGUUCCGCUUGCUUACUUUGCUUUCCCCUUUCCUCCUUUCAAAAACCACAAUAAAGGCUUCUGCUCUUUCUGCCUACCCAUCUGACUUCCGUGUUUCCCUGUGUGGCCCUGACUGCAUGCCUUGCCUCCUGUUUCUAGGGGACUGUGAACAUAAAAAAACCUCCUUCCUUCACUGCAAUCAUUUUGUGUUUGCGUGUUGUACUAUACCUACUCAAAACAAAUCCCAGGGGCCAGGCGCGGUGGCUCAAACCUGCAAUCCCAGCACUUUGGGAGGCUGAGGCGGGUGGAUCACGAGAUCAAGAGAUCGAGACCAUCCUGGUCAACAUGGUGAAACCCCGUCUCUACUAAAAAUACAAAAAAAUUAGCUGGGCAUGGUGACGCGUGCCUGUAAUCCCAGCUACUCAGGAGGCUGAGGCAGGAGAAUUGCCUGAACCCAGGAGGCGGAGGAUGCGGUGAGCCGAGAUCACGCCAUUGCACUCCAGCCUGGGUAACAAGAGCGAAACUCCGUCUAAAAAAAAAAAAAAAAAAAAAAAAAUCCCAGGUACAUUUUUAGACGAUAGGGUGGAAGAACAGUGGCAAGUAAAACAGACCAAAUCUGUCUUUGAAGAGCUGAAGAUCCUUGAAGGAGCUUAUAUUUUAGCCUAGGGUUUAUAAAUUUGCAUGAGUGUGGGCUCUAAAAUAAAUAGAACCUAGGUGUGACCAAGCACCAUUAUUUUCUUCCCCAACUGGGUAUUUUCUGCUAACCUAUGGGGUAAAGGUGGUAGAUGAGAAUUGGGGAAUCAAGGAUUUAACCCUAAUUCUCUUCUGCCUGGAUAAAGAUCGGACUCUGUCUAGAGCGGACUCUACCUACUAAUGCCUGGACUGGGGAGAAAGGACCAGGGUGGGGUCCUUUUAAUUUUAUCUGGCCACAUGAUUAGGAAGAUGCGAGAUGAUUAGGAAGAGGCUUGGUGACUCACCUGUAAUCCCAGCACUUUGGGAGACUGAAGCAGGAGGAUCCAUAGAGUCCAGGAGUUCAAGACUAGCCCAGGCAAUAUAGGGAAACUGUCUCUAUUAAAAAAAUAUAUAUGAAAAAUCAGCUGAGUAUGGUGGCACUCACCUGUACUCCCAGUUACUUGGGAGGCUGAGGUGGGAGGAUUGCUUGAGCCUGGGAGGUUGAGGCUGCAGUGAGCUAUGAUCAUGCCACUGCACUCAGCCUGGUGACAGAGGGAAAAACUGUCUCAAAAAAAAAAAAAAAAAAGGGGAGGGAGAUGAUUAGGAAGACCUACCAAUGUCUGUCCUGAGUGCUUCCUGCCUUGCCAGUUUUCCUUAAACCAAACUUGCACUGGAUGGUGAUGAAAGUGUGAAAGAAAAACACUAAGCUAAAGGGAAAAGUCAAGCUGGAAACUGCCCAGGGCAAAACUUUCUCCCUAUUCUAUCCAGCCAUCCCUCUGCUCACUGAAAUAAAUGCAUAUCUGAUCAACUCCUUUGAAAAGGCUAAUCAGGGAUCCAAGAUGGCCGAUCACUAACAGCUCGGGAUUGUAGCUCCCAGUGAAAGCUCAGAGAACUAGACGAUGCCACACUUAGACAAAUUUUCGUCACUCACGGAUCAGCCGAUUCCCAGUGGAGGAGCCCCCACGGGUCGCCAGCACGACUCUUGUGGCCGCCUCAGCGGUUUUGCCGGCGCCUCGGCGCAGCAGCUCUUCAUGCAGAGCAAACGGGACUGCUUCCCCUACUGACCGGAGUUUGGAGCUCCAGGAAGUCAGAGCCGCUUGUUGCGGACUCAAGAGGGAAGCCAGACCAGAGAUUCCCGGGCAGAAGAGCACCAUCAGUCUUAUCGCUGCUAUUUAGGCCGCCACAGUGGGUUGCUCGGAUCCCAGCACUGGGAAUCAAUACAUUGGAUGUCGACUCAGAAACCUAAUUAGAAAGGCGGGUCAUCUACAAUGAAGGGAAAAAAACAGCCUAAGAAGGCCGGGUAUACCCAAAAUCAGAACCCAUCAGCAACGGAACAAGCCCUGAUGGAAAAGGACUCAUCAGCAAUGGAACAAGCCCUGAUGGAAAAGGACUCAUCAGCAGCAUAACAAGUCCUGAUGGAAAAAGACUGUGUUCCAUUAUCUGAAAUAGGCUUUAAAAGGUGGAUGAUGAGAAACUUCUGGGAGUUAAAGGAACUUGUUCUAACCCAAUGUAAAGGAACUAAGAACUUUGAAAAAAGGUUCGAUGAAAUGGUGAAAAGAAUAGACAAUAUAGAGAGGAAUACAAAUGAACUUAUGGAGUUGAAAAAUACAACACGAGAACUUAGUGAAAUAUGUACAAGCUUAAAUAGCCGAAUGGAUCAAGUAGAAGAAAGGAUAUCAGAGGUCGAAGACCAACUCAAUGAAAUAAAACGACAAGACAAGAAUAGAGAAAAAAGGAUAAAAAAGAAUGAGCAAAGUCUCCAAGAAAUAUGGGACUAUGUGAAAAGACCUAAUAUACGUUUGAUUGGUGUACCUGAAUGUGAUGGAGAGAAUGAAUUCAAGCUGGAAAAUAUUCUUCAGGAUAUUAUUCAGGAAAAUUUUCCUAAUUUAGCAAAGCAGGACACUAUUCAACCCCAGGCAAUACAGAGAACACCACAAAGAUAUUCCUCAAGAAGACCAACCCAAAGGCACAUAAUCAUUAGAUUCACCAGGAUCGAAACGAAGGAGAAAAUAUUAAGGGCAGCCAGAGGGAAAGAUCAGGUUACCCAUAAAGAAAAGCCUAUUAGGCUUACAGCAGAUCUCUCAGUGGAAACCCUACAAGCUAGAAGAGAGUGGGGGCCAAUAUUCAAUAUACUUAAAGAACAGAACUUUCAGCCCAGAAUUUCAUAUCCUGCCAAUUUAAGCUUUACAAUUGAAGGAAAAAUAAAAUCUUUUAGGAACAAGCAAGUACUCAGAGAUUUUAUUACCACCAGGCCUGCUUUACAAGAACUUCUAAAAGAAGCAUUAUACAUAGAAAGGAACAACCAGUAUGAGCCUUUCUAAAAAUACACCAAAAAGUAAAGAGCAUUAACAUAAAGAAGAAUUUACAUCAAUGAAAGGAUAAAAUAGCCAGUUAAUAUCAAAUGGCAGUAACCCUAAAUUUAAAUCGACGAAAUCCCCCAAUCAAAAGAUACAGACAAAAUCUAACGGUAUAUCUAAAGAUAUACAAAGACUCAAAAUAAAGGGUUGGAAAAAAACUUACCAAUUAAACGGAGAGCAAAAAUAAAUAAAUAAAAAGUAGGAGUUGCAAUUCUCACAAUUAAUAAAAUAGAUUUCAAAGCUACAAGGAUACAAGGGUAAAAGGAGUAAUGUAAUAAUAAGAGAUUUUAACACCCAGAUACAUAAGACCCAUAAUGAGAUUUAGAUUCAACGAGACAGAAAAUUGAUAACGAUAUCCAGGACUUGAACUCAGAUCCAGAACAAAUAAACUCAAUAGAGCUCUCCAUUUUAAACACACAAAAUAUACAUUAUCCACUUUAAACACACAAAAUAUUGA